rnacentral:rRNA from 1 species
GCUUCUCUCAAAGAUUAAGCCAUGCAUGUCUAAGUACAAGCUUGUAUCAAGCGAAACUGCGGAUGGCCUCAUUAAAUCAGUCAUGGUUCCUUGGACCGAGUUUCCCUUACAUGGAUAACUGUGGUAAUUUAGAGCUAAUACAUGCCACCAAGCGCCGACCUUACGGAAGGCGUGCUUUUAUUAGGAACAAGAUCAACCCGGCUCGUCCGGCUUAGUUGGUGAACUCUGGAUAACUUAGCAGAUCGCACGGUCAUCGUACCGGCGACAGAUCCUUCAAACGUCUGCCCCUAUCAACUUUCGAUGGUACGUUAUGCGCCUACCAUGGUCGUAACGGGUAACGGAGAAUCAGGGUUCGAUUCCGGAGAGGGAGCCUGAGAAAUGGCUACCACAUCCAAGGAAGGCAGCAGGCGCGCAAAUUACCCACUCUCGACACGGGAGGUAGUGACGAAAAAUAACAAUACAGGACU